GAUGAACGCUGGCGGCGUGCCUAAUACAUGCAAGUCGAGCGAACAGACGAGGAGCUUGCUCCUUUGACGUUAGCGGCGGACGGGUGAGUAACACGUAGGUAACCUACCUAUAAGACUGGGAUAACUUCGGGAAACCGGAGCUAAUACCGGAUAAUAUUUCGAACCGCAUGGUUCGAUAGUGAAAGAUGGCUUUGCUAUCACUUAUAGAUGGACCUGCGCCGUAUUAGCUAGUUGGUAAGGUAACGGCUUACCAAGGCAACGAUACGUAGCCGACCUGAGAGGGUGAUCGGCCACACGGGAACUGAGACACGGUCCAGACUCCUACGGGAGGCAGCAGUAGGGAAUCUUCCGCAAUGGGCGAAAGCCUGACGGAGCAACGCCGCGUGAGUGAUGAAGGUCUUCGGAUCGUAAAACUCUGUUAUUAGGGAAGAACAAACGUGUAAGUAACUGUGCACGUCUUGACGGUACCUAAUCAGAAAGCCACGGCUAACUACGUG
rnacentral:rRNA from 1 species